rnacentral:rRNA from 1 species
UACAGAGGUCUCAAGCGUUGUUCGGAUUCAUUGGGCGUAAAGCGUGCGCAGGCGGUUCGUUAAGUCAGCUGUGAAAGCCCCGGGCUUAACCUGGGAAUGGCGGUUGAAACUGGCGAACUUGAAUCUGGCAGAGGGGGGUGGAACUCCACGUGUAGCAGUGAAAUGCGUAGAGAUGUGGAGGAACACCGAUGGCGAAGGCAGCCCCCUGGGCUGAGAUUGACGCUCAGGCACGAAAGCGUGGGGAGCAAACAGG